AUAGGCCUAAAUUUGAAGCCCUUCACCGGUCUUGGUGACGUCUGUAUAUGAGUGAAAAAUUCUCGAGCGAGACGUUAAGCAAGAUACAAUUACAUCCAUGCGAAAAUAAUCUCAAUUGCUUGGGAGGUCAGUUUGUCCAAGGUCACGGCAUCUUCAAUCCUUCGCUUAUUUUUUUUUUUUCAUGGGAUAAUCUAAAGUUUUUGUAUUUAAAUUAUUUGUUGACCUUGAGGAGACUAUUUAAGGACAAAACUGUUCGGGUUUGCAAUCUCGGAGAACUGUACUUGUAGUAGACAGAAAUAAUUAAUGAAAUUAUUGCCUCAUUUGACUAUCAACAUUCUUAAAAUUACAGUCACGGUUUCCAGUGGUGUAGCUAGGUUUGAAAUAUAUGUAAGCAGAAGCCGAGGACAUUUUUCGUAAUAUGUAAUAAAAAUUUAACGAAAAUGUUUGUAAGCACGUGCAUAGUGUAGCUACCCACUGGUUUCUUUAUAAAACAUUUCAAAUUGAUUGGUAUCGUGUGCGCUAAGAAAUAUUGCUGGUACAGUAAUUGUUCUCUUUCCAUACCCAGGCUGUCCAGCGGCCCUAAAAUUCCUAAUUUUUUUCAGUUUUGCUAAAAUUCCUUUAAAAAAAUGUAAAAUUCAAGGGGAAAUCCUAAAAAAGCCCUUAUUUUUCAUGUCAAUUCCUACUUUUUUAUCAGUCUUGAAAAAUCAAAAUGCAUUCAUACAAAAUGUGUGUUAUUAACGUAGAUUGCAGUUCUUAUUCAGAUAAUGCUGAUGCAGUGAAAGGCAGUUGACCUGUGGAUCCAUGUGUCAAGCUUGUUUAUUGGUUAUAGCCAAUAAUAGCUGAGACCAUGGAACACUGGAAUACGCCCUUCCUGUACUUACAUCUUAUUUUUCUGUCAUGUGAGUUUCUUUAUUGUCAAAUUUGACAAGGUAAGUCCUUUUAAAUAAUUAAAACUUCCGCAAUUUGGUUAAAAAUUCAUAAUUUUAGACCUAAUUUUUUAAAAUUUUACCCCUAAAAUUUGCCCUUAUUUUUUGUCCAAGGGUGCUGGACAGCCUGCAUACCACCCAUCACAUGAAUCUGAUGGACGGUCCAGGUGUUGCCUUAUCAUUGUUUAACUUUAUCCAGAGUUACAAUUCAAAUGAAAUAGCACCAUCCUGUUUUUGUUGUAAACUUUAUAUCUUCUUUUCCAGAACCACUGACAUUGAACAAACUUUCAACAAAGUACCUUUAGGUGAAGUUAAUUCAAGUCUGUGGAAAUACGGAAUCACGUCCGUUUUACAAGGGAGAUUUAGUAAUAGAAUAUUAUGGAGCUCCGUUGACAUAAACCUAAUAAUUGAACAUCAUAUCUUUAUUAUUUGAAGAUAUCAUCAGUUCAUUUGAUGGGCGCAACAAUUCAAUAUUAAAGAUGUCCUCAAAUCAUUAAUGGUAUAAAUUUUGAAUUAUUGAGCUCCACUUAAGGAAGUGCCCAUAGAUAGCAACAUUCAAUUCAAAAAUGAAAAACGAAAAAUGCUAAGCGCAUGAAAUAAUACAGAGAACGUAUCAAGUCUAACCCCGAACUUUAUGAAACUACCAAAAUGUACCAUUCUGCCCAUACCAAAUUGAAAAGAUCCCAAUGGAAUGAAGAGCAAAAGCAGAUAAAUCGAGGUUAGAGUAGGGAGAGGAUGAAGCGAUGCAGAAAAAGAAAUAAAUCAAAACUGAAAACAAAGAACCCAGAACAAGACAGGAAAUAGAGAAGCAAAAACAGCAAAGAGAGAAAUGGAAAUUAGCAAAACAGAAACAAAGAGCCAAUAUGUC